CUACUACUCCCUCCGUUCUAAAUUACUUGUCUCAGAUUUGUCUAGAUACGGGUGUAUCUAGACUCAUUUUAAUGCUAGAUACAUCCAUAUCUAGAGAAAUCUAAGACAAGUAAUUCGGAACAGAGGGAGUAGUAG
rnacentral:pre_miRNA from 1 species